CCGUAUAACAAUCAAAACCGCAUGGUUUUGAUUUGAAAGGCGCUUUCGGGUGUCGCUGAUGGAUGGACCCGCGGUGCAUUAGCUAGUUGGUGAGGUAACGGCUCACCAAGGCCACGAUGCAUAGCCGACCUGAGAGGGUGAUCGGCCACAUUGGGACUGAGACACGGCCCAAACUCCUACGGGAGGCAGCAGUAGGGAAUCUUCGGCAAUGGACGAAAGUCUGACCGAGCAACGCCGCGUGAGUGAAGAAGGUUUUCGGAUCGUAAAACUCUGUUGUUAGAGAAGAACAAGGAUGAGAGUAACUGUUCAUCCCUUGACGGUAUCUAACCAGAAAGCCACGGCUAACUACGUGCCAGCAGCCGCGGUAAUACGUAGGUGGCAAGCGUUGUCCGGAUUUAUUGGGCGUAAAGCGAGCGCAGGCGGUUUCUUAAGUCUGAUGUGAAAGCCCCCGGCUCAACCGGGGAGGGUCAUUGGAAACUGGGAGACUUGAGUGCAGAAGAGGAGAGUGGAAUUCCAUGUGUAGCGGUGAAAUGCGUAGAUAUAUGGAGGAACACCAGUGGCGAAGGCGGCUCUCUGGUCUGUAACUGACGCUGAGGCUCGAAAGCGUGGGGAGCAAACAGGAUUAGAUACCCUGGUAGUCCACGCCGUAAACGAUGAGUGCUAAGUGUUGGAGGGUUUCCGCCCUUCAGUGCUGCAGCUAACGCAUUAAGCACUCCGCCUGGGGAGUACGACCGCAAGGUUGAAACUCAAAGGAAUUGACGGGGGCCCGCACAAGCGGUGGAGCAUGUGGUUUAAUUCGAAGCAACGCGAAGAACCUUACCAGGUCUUGACAUCCUUUGACCACUCUAGAGAUAGAGCUUCCCCUUCGGGGGCAAAGUGACAGGUGGUGCAUGGUUGUCGUCAGCUCGUGUCGUGAGAUGUUGGGUUAAGUCCCGCAACGAGCGCAACCCUUAUUGUUAGUUGCCAUCAUUCAGUUGGGCACUCUAGCAAGACUGCCGGUGACAAACCGGAGGAAGGUGGGGAUGACGUCAAAUCAUCAUGCCCCUUAUGACCUGGGCUACACACGUGCU
rnacentral:rRNA from 1 species